rnacentral:tRNA from 1 species
GCCCGGCUAGCUCAGUCGGUAGAGCACGAGACUCUUAAUCUCGGGUUCGAGCCCCACGUUGGGCG